CCCUCUCCAGUCACAGACCCCACGCCUGAGAUGGUGGGCAGGGUACUAAGGGUUUUCCUAUCAUCCACCCUCUUUCUUUGCUCUGAUACAGGCCUGUCUUUGUCUUUCUCCUCCUUUUCCUUUUUCUCUCCGGGUUCCCAGUCCUGUUUCUGACUGUGUCCCCCAGUCCCUACCUACUUAUCUGGUGGACUGUCAGCCCCUUGUUUGAACGACUGCUCUAAGGUUUUAACUCGACCCAUCCCAAACGUUUUAUAAACGUCCGCUCACGCACGUGUAAGAGCUGAUGUAGUUCUAUAUAAACUCAAAAGUAGCCACUGGGGGAGGAACUACUCUGUCCAGGAGACCUGGAAAGUGUAGGGUUUGGGGAGAAAAGCCCAGAGUUCAGGUGCUGGGCUAUUGCUUUGCCUUCCUGGUGACGUUCUUUGGGUUCUGCACUUUGCAUGAUAUUUUGUGGCCAAUGUGCUGACAUUUCAGAGCGAGUGCAUAAAUUGUCUAGUGGAGUGACUAACACUUGCAAGCAAAGGGGAGGGGUCGUGGAGCGCCCCUGGGUUACUUCAUCCUCACACCAGUGUCCAUGGAGUUAGGCUUUUGAGUGUUUCGGUCAAAAAUCCUAGGUUCCAUAACAUCAGAAAAUGGCUCCCAGACAGGUCCCAAUCCUCCUCUGAAUUUUACUUUCAAGUAGAGGCAGACCCAUUCCAUGGGGCCCACCCCUGUUGCUCCCCUCACUGCCAACAGGAGAGGCCUUUUGUCACUGCCCGGUUCUCAGUGCAGCUAACCAAGAGCCAGCUUCACUCCUGCCAGUUCUGAGAUCCCGGCGCCAUAGCAUCAUUUCACCUGGCAGCCAUCACUAGCCAAGUCUUCAGCUUUGAAACGGAGGUGCAGCAGAGGCGUUUUGGAAACGUUCCUGCUAGGAAAAGGCCUACCCGGAGGCUCAGAGCUAAAUAACAGGGAUGGCUGGAUUAGAGCUGCCGGGGACCUGGGCCUGGGGAGGCUUGGCAGAAGUCAACCAACCUGGGAUCGGUCCCAAGGACUCGGUGGAAAGGGGUUGGCGCAUCAGAGUUCUCUUGUUCGAGGUCCCGGGAGGACAGUGCACCCCGCGUCUAAUUAGGGGAGACGAGGCCCUAGAUCCACCGAACCUCCGUUACAAGGGCCACCCCACAGGAAACUCGCUCCGAUUUGGGUCCCUUUGUAUUUUACGCCUGCCCAAGUUGCCUGCCUCCGGUAGGACUGACCGUCUGCCCGGCCUUACUCUGCUGCCAACCUUGCCCGAAACCUAGACCCCAGAUCCGGUAAGUCGCGUUCUCCCCUCACCCCGCCCCGCCACCUUUCUAGCGGACUCCGCGGGCGGCUGCGUGUGCGCGCGAGCCGCCGGAGGCGCGCGCCGAGAACUUGGGCCCCUGCGGCUGGUGUGUGUGAACACAGAGUACCCGAAGUAGUCAGAGGUGUCGUGGGGCUCCCCUGUGAGGAGGGAGCGGAGCGGGGUGGUCCAGCCUCGCUCCUCUGGAUCCUCUGUCCCUGUGGACACCCACCAAAGCUAUCUUUUAAGAAUAAGCUUUCUGCUGGUCUCGUGAGUGUGUGUGUGUUUUGGGUGAGGGAAGCAGGGGGAGGGGAAUUGCCCCUUCCCCUAAGCAGUUUCUAAUUCCUGAGGUCCCCAACAAAGUUUACUCAUGAUUUCCAUUCGAAUGCUGUGAAGUUAUUAUCAUUACUAUUUCAAGUGAAGAUUUCUGAGAGUCGCAGCUUCUCAGAUAUACGUGCCUCUGGAGGGCAUUUCGACAAUUACCUUGUCCACUAACUCCUCUCCCUUCCCACUGGAAAAAAAAUAAACUUAAUUUUUCAGUAGUUGCCUUAGGACACGUCGUUUACAAGUCCCUAAUGUGAGGGAAGAAGGGAAGAAAGAAAAACAACCUUGGCAUUUCUCGUUGGGACUCUGCGUGCUCUGUUAUUGAAAUGUGAAAGAUGGAUUUUUGGGGGGGAGGGGGAGGCAGAGCGCUGGAAGAGUGCUUUUGAACCGCGCUGCCCUGUUGCACGGGGCUGACCUUUGGCUGACACGGCCACGGAGCGGGCCGUUCGUUAACGAGGAUUUGAUACAUUAGACAUUCGAGCUGGGCGUGUAAACCCACACUCUGAAUCCAGAUUUCGCUCAAAUUAGUGUACGAGGAAAUGAUCUUUUUAAGUCCUGAGGCUUAACCAAGUGUCAGGAGGGCCGAUUGCUGCCUGAAAAGGGCAGGGAAAGACACUGUGUAAAAGGCACAUUCACUGCUCCUUAAAAAACAAACAAAAUCAACCCCCCAAAUCAUCUUUGAAAAAUUUCCGAAAUCCUCCCAAGUCGCUCCUUUUAAGUGAUGCUUAUAAAUAAGGCUAAUCAUCUCGUUCUAGUGAAUUCGGUUGUAUUAAUUCCUAACACGAGGCAAAGCUGUGAAGACAGUGUCACAGUUAUGGAUAUAUAUGUGUGUGCAUGAAAAUAUAUACACAUAUAUUAUAUAUAUGUAAUACACAAUUAUAUAAUUUUUUUCUCAUUAAUCGCUGGAGAUGUUAGAAUGUGACAGUUCAUUUCUGCCAGGCAGUGGGGGCACAUAUGGAGGGGAAAGUCACAGAUUUUAAAACCGUUUCAAAGUUGACGCGUCUCGAUUUAAUUUGGUUCGACUCGUGUCCAGACUUCGGAGCCCAUCAAGGGAAGGCAGGCUGGCCACGGGGAUCCCGGCCUGGCGCGCGGGGGCGGAACUUGCAGCUCGCCAGCCUCACGGAUGAGACUGAAGUUGGGGACUUGGCUGUGACAGUGGAAUAGGAAGCCAGUUGGAGGCCGCAGCGGCUCCCGCAGUAUUUACUGACUUUGGAAAGGUGUGAUUUUAUUUAAGUUGACAAUAGAGCUCCAACUUAAAAAAAAAUAAAAUAAAAUAAGCACCUCUAGAAAAUGUUUUUCUCCUCCUUCUCCCAAAAGCAGAGCCCGCGAAAUGCUCUGAAUUGGAGAGGGGGGAGAAAUUCGCUCCUGCACGAGUUGCCAGCCAUUCUUAGGGGUGGAAAGGGGAGGAGGUAUCUGUGCCCUGCAGCCCUGCAAAGGCCGAUUGCCCUCAACUACCAUCCUGGGGGAGGGUCGCAGCGGCCGUGGCAGUUUUCUACACCUGAGUGUUGGAUUCUGCCUCAGGGUUUCGCUGGGGCUGCACUGGGGCGGUUUCUGGGACCAGAGUUUAUUAGGCGAAGCAAUUUUUGGCCUUAAAUUUUGCUCUGGGAGUCUGCCUCCAAUCCCCUCUUGUCCUCUGAGUGUGGAUAAAAAGAUGGAAAAUUAACUAUCAUGAAAAGAAAGAGACAGUUUAAAAACAAGGAUGCUAAGGGAGAGAAGUGAUUCUCCCAGACCUACGAUAAAGAAAUUCAGACAGGGCCCAGGAGAGGUACAGGAUUCAUUCCAGACAGAGCUCUCUAGACCCAGUCCCACUCACAGGCUGACAGGCUCGCAUGUCCCAGACCUUUCGGAUCAGGGCAGCUGAGCGGGCGGAACACUUUUCUGGAUUCAGGCUCUGACCCCCUUUCGAAAAAUCACACCUCUGCACAAUCUUGACAACAAACGGCCAAGGUUUGGGAGGGUUACAAAAGCUGGCCUAACGGUGAACAGGAGAGUAGGGGAAGAAGGAAAGGUUGGGAGUGGAGAGAGCAGAGUUUGCUGCCAGUCCUCUUCAAGAUCGAGUUCAUUUUUCCCUUGUAGCGGGUCCCAGGUUUGUAGCAUCACCAACCAUGCUUGGGGGAGAAACUCUCCGGAUCACCAACUGCCAAAGUUGUGUCAAGUUUGAGGUAGAAAAACGGUGGGUCUGUUUCAUUUUAAGGUCCACUUCUGGAGUCAGUGGAAACCAUCUAACGUUGACUUUUAUAAAGAGUGGAAGGAAGGAAGCCCCCGCAGUUUGCAGACUAGUCUGGAGUUUCUUUGGUCCUCUUGUCUAGACCGCCCACCCACGUCCAGCCCCGGGAGUCUCCACAAGCGCUGGGGCCUCCGCACGCGGUCUGGAGUCUGGGUGCCCGCUUGUGCUCGGAAGCCGCGGACGCUGUGGUUCUGACUUCGGCAGGACUUUCUGGCGGGCGCCAGGGCUGCGCCUUUCGCCGCUUGGGGGUUUCCUCCGGCCCUGACCCGGGCUUCCUCCCCGUAGCCCCCCACAGCCCUAGGCCUGGCCACCCCAGGGACUGCCCUGGACCUGACAUAGGCAGAGCGGUCGCUGACGUCAGGGGCUCCCAGUGACCCGAAUUCCAGCCCCGGCCAGGAGGCGCGCGGCGCGGGCAUCAUUAAUUACCAGACGCUAAAUGUUAC
rnacentral:lncRNA from 1 species